AUCUAGAGCAGUUUCAGUUUGUUGUUUGCAGAGUGAACGUUAUAAUUGUUGACUUUGUGCCAGCGGCGAAUUAAGAGUAAAAUUCGAGUCUCGAAAUCGACUUGUUCUUAAAGCAUAAGUAGCUUUGAAAAGUAUCAAUCAGCAUGUAAAAACGAAUGUUUAAACCGGAAGAGGUGAUGAAAGUGCGUUGAAAGUGCGUUCUCUGUCUGUGCUUGGAGACAGAAGAUUGAAAAUGAUAGCAGACGCGGGGAACACGAUGCGGAUGUUGGAGAGAAAAAAAGUACGAAGAUGCGAUUCGUGAACUUAUUGCCUGAUCAAAUGGCGGAUUUAACCCUUUGGCGGCCUGAAGUCAUCGUACCGAUCACGUCGACCAUGAUCGAUGUUUAAACCAAUAGAAAAUCAAUAUUUAGACAUCCUUCGGCUAAUCUACCAAAUUUUAAUAUUCACCUAGACCGGUAAAUAUCAACUUCACGCGUAGUAAUUAAAAUACUCGCGAUGCAAUGGCCAGUUGAAAACUGCCUUCAAGACUCCCCUGGUAAGCGUGUCUCGUUGGACGAACUAAUUAUUUUUCACGCAUUUUAAAAAACGCGAGAAUCGUCCGAAGAACGCUUCAGAAUGAGCCCAUUGAAUGCUCGAUGGUCGUUUCGAAUAUUCUAACGACUGUGCUGAUUCAACGAACAUCGUUUUAGCCAAGCUAGAACUUUAUCCCAGUCUGUGUAUAUAUAUAUAUUUUAUGUAAUUCUGAUAAUAGUUUAAUAAUCUAAAAAGAUGACAAGCACCUUUGAGAGCCUCAUUAUAGUGUUAUUAGCGUCAAGACUGCCCCACUACCUUAGCUAACGUAAAGAGAGUUAUUUGAAUGGAAAAUUCUUCUAUGAUCUGGAAGCGAGUAAAUAUGCUGACCAGGCUCGGUAUGUUCCUCCAUCUACAUCAAUGAAACAAUAUUACGAUUAUUAGAGAGUGUUACUUAACUUAGUAAUUCUUAUAUCGAUCCGCAAUCUUUUAAAUUAUUCUCUAUGCUGGCUUUUAUACUGAACUAUUUUCUAUACGCAGAAUAUAUCUCUGUCAUUUCUUAAAUCGAAGUAUGAAUUUUUAAUCUGGUCAAAUGUAUCAAUCAAAUGUAUAUUAUAUAUGCAGCUUAAGAUAUCAAGUAAAAGUGCGCCGAGGACUGACAAAUUUCCUUACACGAACGAAUGUAAGACGAUCUAAGCGAUAAAAGAGAUGCAAUGAUUCUCAGAACCAAUGACAUAGAGCGUGACGUGGAUCAAAGGCAAAAUACGAGCACUAAAAGUGUUAUUGUUUCAAUAGAUUAAUGUGAGAAUAACAGGCAUAUGGAAAAACACUAAAGUUAAUGGAAUGGAUUUCUCAGACUUUUACGGAACGUUAUGUUGAAUGUAAAAAAGAAGGAAAAAAUAAUUAUAUUUGUCGCGUGAUUUUUGUUCUCUAAACGAAAUAGAAUUAUACUAUUUUCGAAAGCUUAUUAAUUAAUACGGUGGCCAUGUGAUAAAAAUGUUAUAGUAUUGUUUGGGUUAAGAAUAAUGUUGAAAUAGGAUUUAUCAGAAGUCAAACAUUUAUACGUACAUAAUCUUGUAAAUGGCAAAAUAAGAUUGUGUAAUAUAUAAAAGAAGAGGGAAGAUAAAAUGAGAAUAUUUUUCUGUAAGACUUAUACUACAAUAACAUUAUUUAUAUUUGUAUUAUUAUUUAUAAUAUUAUCUGUUUUUAUUAUUCAUGUUUUAGUAUUAACAAAAUGCAUUAACGAAAAUCAUACUUAAUUUGAUGCUUUUCAUUCAUUUAUUUUGUUAAUAUC
rnacentral:lncRNA from 1 species